AGCUCAUGGCGGCGUACCGUAUACCCUAUAUAACGAGGAAGAGGAAAGGGAUAGAAUCGACAUCGUCUCAAGCUAUCAUCAAAAAUCAAUAUCUGAGAUAAUUGUUUUGUGAGAAAGAAAAAGGAAAUGUCUGGAGUUGGACCAAUCACACAGGACUGGGAACCAGUGGUAAUCCGCAAGAAGGCUCCCAACGCCGCCGCGAAGAAGGAUGAGAAGGUUGUCAACGCCGCUCGCCGUUCCGGUGCCGAGAUUGAAA
rnacentral:misc_RNA from 1 species